rnacentral:rRNA from 1 species
UACGUAGGGACCAAGCGUUGUUCGGAUUUACUGGGCGUAAAGGGCGCGUAGGCGGCGUGACAAGUCACUUGUGAAAUCUCCGGGCUUAACCCGGAACGGCCAAGUGAUACUGUCGUGCUAGAGUGCAGAAGGGGCAAUCGGGAAUUCGUUGGUGUAGCGGUUGGAAAUGGCGUAGGAUAAUCAAGAGGAACACCUGAGGUGAAAGAACGGGGUUGCCUGGGGCGUGAACACGUUGACGCUGGACAGCGCGAAAGCUAGGGGAGCAAACGGG